AGAUUGAACGCUGGCGGCAUGCCUAACACAUGCAAGUCGAACGGCAGCGCGGGUAGCAAUACCUGGCGGCGAGUGGCGGACGGGUGAGGAAUACAUAGGAAUCUACCCUGUCGUGGGGGAUAACGUAGGGAAACUUACGCUAAUACCGCAUACGACCGAGAGGUGAAAGCGGCGGACCGCAAGGCGUCGCGCGGCUGGAUGAGCCUAUGUCCGAUUAGCUAGUUGGCGGGUAAGAGCCCACCAAGGCGACGAUCGGUAGCUGGUCUGAGAGGAUGAUCAGCCACACUGGGACUGAGACACGGCCCAGACUCCUACGGGAGCAGCAGUGGGGAAUAGUUGGACAAGUGGG
rnacentral:rRNA from 1 species